rnacentral:lncRNA from 1 species
GUAAAUUUCCUUUAGUUAACAUUGUUUGCCACUUAUUUUAUUCUUAAUUUAAGUAUAUAUUAGAAGUAGAAGUAGAACAAUUGGGGACUUGAAUUGAAGGUAUAAAGAUAUUUAAUUCUCCAACUUGGCAAGUAAUAUCAUUAGAAUGAUACCCUAUGUGUAUAAGGGCUCCUUGUCUUGAGUGAGGAAAAACGUCCACAUGGUGUAUGGAAAUUGUGAAUCACAAGUGACGAUGUUUUCCAGUGAGCACUCAGUCACUGAGAAGUGUGUGGCCAGGCAGAGUGUGGAGACGGGAUCACGCCCACAGCCAACCUCUCGACACCCCUCCGUCUCCUCACUGAAUCUACUUUUGUUGAGAUUUUUUAAAAGAAUGGCAAGUAUCCAAGGAGAGAGAUCCAUCAUGCUGGAAUAGGGGCCCUGAAGGUGAUUCAGAAGGAUCACAGGGAUGUGGUUCAAAAUACUCGAUAGCCAGUGUGAUAAUAUAAAUGAACCUACAAAACAAAAUGAGAUCAAUAACCAACAUGUGUUUUGUAGGGUCUCAGGACGAUUACUUAAGUAAAUAAAAUUGUGUUGUUUUGUUACUAAGAUACGAAAAAGACUGCCUUUCAUGUGCCAAGCCGUGCAACUGACAGAGGGAGAAAUUGCCAAGUGCCUGGAAUAGAUAAAGCCUCCCUGCCAAGGUCUUCCCACAGCGUGCAGGAGAGCUAAGAGUGAACGUCCCCAGCUGCUGGAAUUGGACGGUGGUGGCUAGAGUGUGUUGCAGGUCACGUGUUGAUUCUAUCCACUGUCUAUGAACUUUCCCUUGUGUUCGGAGUGCAAAGGGUGUGCACAUGUAUAUAUUCACAUGAAGAGAUGCUGAAUUUUAUCAAAUACUUUUUCUAACCAAAUUACAAGACCAUAUGGUUUUUCUCCUUUCUGCUAUUAAAUGUGGUAAAUUACAUUUAUUCUAAUGUUAAACCUCCCCUGAAUUCCUGAGACAGAGCAAAUUUGGACAAGAUACAUUUUCUUUUUUAUUUAACUGAUUUUAUUUUUUUAAAUACACAACAGCGGAAUGCAUUACAAUUCUUAUUACACAUAUAGAGCACAAUUUUUCAUAUCUCUGUUUAUAUAUAAAGUAUGUU